AGCAUGUGGUUUAAUUCGAAGCAACGCGAAGAACCUUACCAGGUCUUGACAUCCCCUGACAACCCAAGAGAUUGGGCGUUCCCCUUCGGGGGACAGGGUGACAGGUGGUGCAUGGUUGUCGUCAGCUCGUGUCGUGAGAUGUUGGGUUAAGUCCCGCAACGAGCGCAACCCUCGCCUCUAGUUGCCAGCAUUCGGUUGGGCACUCUAGAGGGACUGCCGGCGACAAGUCGGAGAAGUGGGGAUGACGUCAAAUCAUCAUGCCCCUUAUGACCUGGGCUACACACGUGCUACAAUGGGCGGUACAAAGGGCUGCGAACCCGCGAGGGGGAGCGAAUCCCAAAAAGCCGCUCUCAGUUCGGAUUGCAGGCUGCAACUCGCCUGCAUGAAGCCGGAAUCGCUAGUAAUCGCGGAUCAGCAUGCCGCGGUGAAUACGUUCCCGGGCCUU
rnacentral:rRNA from 1 species